CCUCUCGCGUCAGGAUAUGCCUAGGUGGGAUUAGCUAGUUGGUGAGGUAAUGGCUCACCAAGGCGACGAUCCCUAGCUGGUCUGAGAGGAUGAUCAGCCACACUGGAACUGAGACACGGUCCAGACUCCUACGGGAGGCAGCAGUGGGGAAUAUUGCACAAUGGGCGCAAGCCUGAUGCAGCCAUGCCGCGUGUGUGAAGAAGGCCUUCGGGUUGUAAAGCACUUUCAGUCGUGAGGAAGGUAGUGUAGUUAAUAGCUGCAUUAUUUGACGUUAGCGACAGAAGAAGCACCGGCUAACUCCGUGCCAGCAGCCGCGGUAAUACGGAGGGUGCGAGCGUUAAUCGGAAUUACUGGGCGUAAAGCGCAUGCAGGUGGUUUGUUAAGUCAGAUGUGAAAGCCCGGGGCUCAACCUCGGAAUAGCAUUUGAAACUGGCAGACUAGAGUACUGUAGAGGGGGGUAGAAUUUCAGGUGUAGCGGUGAAAUGCGUAGAGAUCUGAAGGAAUACCGGUGGCGAAGGCGGCCCCCUGGACAGAUACUGACACUCAGAUGCGAAAGCGUGGGGAGCAAACAGGAUUAGAUACCCUGGUAGUCCACGCCGUAAACGAUGUCUACUUGGAGGUUGUGGCCUUGAGCCGUGGCUUUCGGAGCUAACGCGUUAAGUAGACCGCCUGGGGAGUACGGUCGCAAGAUUAAAACUCAAAUGAAUUGACGGGGGCCCGCACAAGCGGUGGAGCAUGUGGUUUAAUUCGAUGCAACGCGAAGAACCUUACCUACUCUUGACAUCCAGAGAACUUUUCAGAGAUGGAUUGGUGCCUUCGGGAACUCUGAGACAGGUGC
rnacentral:rRNA from 1 species